UGCGCAGGCGGUUAUGUAAGUCAGAUGUGAGAUCCCCGGGCUUAACCUGGGAAUGGCAUUUGAGACUGCAUGGCUAGAGUGUGUCAGAGGGGGGUAGAAUUCCACGUGUAGCAGUGAAAUGCGUAGAGAUGUGGAGGAAUACCGAUGGCGAAGGCAGCCCCCUGGGAUAACACUGACGCUCAUGCACGAAAGCGGUGGGGAGCAAACAGGAUUAGAUACCCUGGUAGUCCACGCCCUAAACGAUGUCUACUAGUUGUCGGACUUAAUUGUCUUGGUAACGCAGCUAACGCGUGAAGUAGACCGCCUGGGGAGUACGGUCGCAAGAUUAAA
rnacentral:rRNA from 1 species